AGGUAAUAGGCAGCACAAAGUGUGACAUGGGUAGGAGUAUAAUAACUCAUAAGAUGGAACAGUACACAGGUAAUAGGCAGCGCAAAGUGUGACAUGGGUAGGAGUAUAAUAACUCAUAAGGUGGUAAUAGUAACGUUAUUUACGUUUUUACUGACAAAAGUUGUGGCUACUGUAGGUACAUAAGCUUUGUUCCAUAAAUAACUGAAAACUUAAAUCUGAAUCAGGUUAUAACUCAAAACAUACAAUAUCUAGUCUGAUUAAAUAGGUAUGUUGAUAGAGUACCAUAAAGGGAAUAUGUGUGACUACCAUACUGAGAAUAUGUGUAAAAGUGAAGUUUUUCUGUCAGUCCAUCCAAAAAUCUGGAUCGUUAGAUAUAUAAAAAUGUAAUUACAUUGUAAGCUUGUAUGAUGAAACUAUGUGGAUAAAGGGCCUUAUUAGGAUAAUGGAUGUUAUUUCAAGUUGUUUUGUUAGGCAACAAAUUGUGGUUACUAUGGAUACAGUAUUGAACGAAAACUAAAAUCUGGAUUGUGGGACAAAUAAAAACAUACUUAAACUGGGUUAAUCAAACUCGGUACCUUAUGUGAAGAAGGCCAUAUGGUGAACAUGCAUGUUAUUUCUGUUGUUUUUUGUCAGUCGGAAAUUGGAGUUGCUAUGCUUACUGAAAUAAUUCAAAACAAACAUCUGCAUACUGCCAUGACUCAAAAGUAUGUGGCUAGUUUAAUUAAACUUGUUGAGAUCCUGUUCUAACUCCGAAAAUAUUAACCCAGUUGUUUCCCAUAAAGUUGUUACCCAUAAUGGGUUAAUAGAGUAAUAAAGGAUCUCCAUGCUUUGUCUUUGGCAAAGCGCUUUUAUAAGGUAUUUUUUUGUUGAAAACCGUGGGCUUUAUACCGGUAUCCAAGUAUGUUUCCCAGGUGAAAUAAAAAAUGUGUUUUUUAAAGAAUAGAUCUUUUGGACAUUCCCUGAGCAAAGAUCCUACUGUAUCCAAACCACCCCUGUCACGGUCCUAGUCUAAUAUCAACCAUAUAUAAUCUACUUAUAUAUAGACAUUCUUCAACUUUCUUUAAAAUUUAUGUUGAAAAAGCAUAUUUCUUCAAUAUGUUUAAGUUUUUAAAAGGCAAUCAUUGAUGCUUAUGAACAUAAUUGAUGCAUACUAUUGAUGAGCAUGCCCUUUAU